CGCGGCGUCGUCCGAGCUCGCCACCGUCGAGGGCGGAUGGAGCGCUCUUCGCGAUAAUUUCGUCGCCGCGGCUCCGAGGGACACUCGGGCUCAG
rnacentral:ribozyme from 1 species